rnacentral:lncRNA from 1 species
UGGCAAGGGUUUGUCUAUAAGCCCACCGACGGAGUUUGUCUCUGAUGCGGGACCUUCCACUCGCCGGAGAAGCAGUGCCGGCCGGAGAAGGAACCUACGGUGGUGGGUGUGGGGCCUGACAAUCUCACCCAUGUGGAGGGGAUGGAAGGUGGCCAGAGGAUGGUGGGGCCCCCUCUUGGGCCUUGGCUGCUAGCCGUCCAUCGACGGGAGG